rnacentral:rRNA from 1 species
GUAUUUUGUAUUUAUUAUCUUAGUUUUAUAACUAAAAUGGUUUGGCAGUGAGUGAUUCUUUUUAGGGGAAGGUGUGGUGUAAAGGAUGUUCCGCCUAUUAUUUUACUUUUAUUAUGUUGGUGUAUAUCUGAUUUAAUAUUAUUGCUUAAUGGUUUAAGUUUGUGUAUAUUUAUUUAAGUCAAGUCUAUGUGCUGCUUAUAAAAGUAUUCAUGCGUUACAUUUAAUAAUAUGUUGGUUGAAAUAUUAAUUAAUUUAGGACUUAAUAGUAAUAUUUAAUUAAUUUGUAAAUG